ensembl:lncRNA
CUUGCCUAGUAAAUCCAAGUGUGGGAGGUUCUCAUUCCUGUAAGAGCAAAGUGCAAGCUGUCACUGGUGUUUUCUAGAGGAGGAUUUACUACUGAAUAAUAUCAGUUCCCAAAGGUCAGCUUUCUUAGGGCUAGUCCAAUAGACCUAGGGCUAGACCAAGAAAAUACUUCUUUGCAUGUUCAUGUCAUCGUGUUAUGAACCACCCACCCUAUACAGCUUAUCCACAAGCUGAAGUGCUGUUAGCAAAGUGCCAGCCAGGUGAUAUUUCCCGAAUGUGUUUCUUUGAACCACAAAAUCUCAAACAGGUUCUGCUGAGAAACAUCUCUCCAGGCACCUUGACAAGCCUUGAAAAAAUGAGUGCAGAUCAGCAUGGGGGUGCCAAAAAGAGCAUUGUACCAGCCCAGGCAGAGGAAGUUCUGAGAGCAUGGGGUUGCUUUGUGCUAGGCAAGCUCAAGGCAUCAUCACACUGUUUGUGGAUCUGGCACUGGGGAGCAAAGUACAAACUGGUUUUCAUGGUUCUCAGGAUGUUAUAGCUCCCUGUCAUUACUCUAGAUGUGUUCUAUUUCCCUAAAUAUUUAUUAAGUGUAUGUUAAAUACAUAAUAAAGACACAACUAGAAGCAUUAACUAGCAGUAACUUAGAGGCCAAUGUGGAGAGCUAGGUUUGAUUAUGUUAGAAAUUCUUCUUGUGCAUACUGGAAGAAAGCAUCUGCUAAUAUGAUUUAGGGCACUGACAGUUGAAAAAGCCAGGCUGUUCUGGGGAACAAAUGGCUUGCAUAAAGGAGCACAGCAGGCAUGUGAUGGAGUAAAGUCUUUUGAGUCUUGGAAGUUUGGCGUAAGAUUGUAAGGGGAUGUAGCUGGACUGGCAAGAUGAAGGAAGUUCUGGCAGCUUACCAUGCCCCUGGCUCUGCAGAGUUAAGCGAGACGUGCGCCCAUGUUCUAGCAUGCAUCACAUCGCCUCUCGGGUCUGAAGUGCCAGAAGGAUCCCAGCGCUGCAGACUGAGACGGCUCUGAGCACCUCAGUACCCCGUUUCUGACAGAACCCAGGGAUGGCAAACUUACAUACCAGUAUUACCUGUCUGGCGCAGGUUUAAUUUUAUAAAUUAAAACCAUAAACUCUAUGAGUUUCUAGACCAUAUUUGUGCUGUUGAGGAUGAUCUACUCAGAUGAACAGUUUUGCAUCCAUCGGAGAGAAAGGUUCUUCUGCUGGACCAGAAGGCAACAUUAUUGUAACUAAUACCAUUUGUAGCAUCUAGUGCAAAUAAUUGAAGAACAGGUUGCAAGAAAAUCCUCUAGGGAAUAAGACAUGCUUUGUUUUGGUCUUCAGAUUUUAAAAAAAUGUUGUUUUUUUAAAGGUAACCACUUUUACAUAACACUAUGUGUGCAGUCUAUGUGCAGCUCUUCACUGUGACUAUCUAUAUUCCAGAGAUUUUUAAUUACUUGUCAGGCACCUGAACCUUUUUUAGAUUUGUGAUGGAUCCUUAAAUUAUGUAUCCUUAAGUAUCAUGGAAAACUAGAAAGGAAAAGUUUCAGGGCUUUUAUUUGACUAAAUGUCUCCACUUAGUCCCUGUUAGUGUCUUGAAUGGUGGAGGAAAGGGUGGGAAGUAGGAAAACAAUACAAGAAAAAAACAACAAUACAUUGUGGGCUUGGUGUUUGGUUUGGCAUAUCAGAAUAUGUUUGAUCAAAUAACUAAGGAGAGAGAAACAGCUAACUUACCUGAGCCCUCACAUGAAAGGUCAGUAUUUUGGGGGGCAGUAUUUGCUAAUUUUGUCUCCAAAAUAGCUAUAGAAAAGAGGGAAUAUAUAUUAAGCCCCAACAUAUGUGAAAAGGACAUACUUGCCAUUCCUCUAUUUAUUUUUGCUCUUUCAAAAAUCAAAGUGCCAGUUAUUUGGAAUGCUGUAGUCUGUGGUCUCUUUAAAUUUGUUUGGUGAGAUCCUUUCAGCAAGAUCAUUCCCAUUACGGUGUAACUGCAUGGUGACCACAGCUUUGGGCCUGUAUAAUAAAGAUCUGAAUUCAAA